rnacentral:rRNA from 1 species
UCCGUAGGUGAACCUGCGGAGGGAUCAUUACCGAGUUUACAACUCCCAAACCCCUGUGAACAUACCUUACUGUUGCCUCGGCGGAUCAGCCCGCUCCCGGUAAAACGGGACGGCCCGCCAGAGGACCCCUAAACUCUGUUUCUAUAUGUAACUUCUGAGUAAAACCAUAAAUAAAUCAAAACUUUCAACAACGGAUCUCUUGGUUCUGGCAUCGAUGAAGAACGCAGCAAAAUGCGAUAAGUAAUGUGAAUUGCAGAAUUCAGUGAAUCAUCGAAUCUUUGAACGCACAUUGCGCCCGCCAGUAUUCUGGCGGGCAUGCCUGUUCGAGCGUCAUUUCAACCCUCAAGCCCUCGGGUUUGGUGUUGGGGAUCGGCGAGCCUUUCUGGCAAGCCGGCCCCGAAAUACAUUGGCGGUCUCGCUGCAGCCUCCAUUGCGUAGUAGCUAACACCUCGCAACUGGAACGCGGCGCGGCCAUGCCGUAAAACCCCAACUUCUGAAUGUUGACCUCGGAUCAGGUAGGAAUACCCGCUGAACUUAAGCAUAUCAAUAAGCGGAGGAAAUCACUAGUGAAUUCGCGGCCGCCUGCAGGUCGACCAUAUGGGAGAGCUCCCAACGCGUUGGAUGCAUAGCUUGAGUAUUCUAUAGUGUCACCUAAAUAGCUUGGCGUAAUCAUGGUCAUAGCUGUUUCCUGUGUGAAAUUGUUAUCCGCUCACAAUUCCACACAACAUACGAGCCGGAAGCAUAAAGUGUAAAGCCUGGGGUGCCUAAUGAGUGAGCUAACUCACAUUAAUUGCGUUGCGCUCACUGCCCGCUUUCCAGUCGGGAAACCUGUCGUGCCAGCUGCAUUAAUGAAUCGGCCAACGCGCGGGGAGAGGCGGUUUGCGUAUUGGGCGCUCUUUCGCUUCCUCG